AGCGCAGCUACACAUGCAGUCGAGCGGAUGAAUGGAACUUGCUCCCCGAUUCUCGGCGGACGGGUGAGUAAUGCCUAUGAAUCUGCCUGGUGUUGGGGGACGCGUCUCCAAAGGAACGCUAAUACCGCAUACAUCCUACGGGAGAAAGCAGGGGACCUUCGGGCCUUGCGCUAUCACAUGAACCUACGUCGGAUUACCUGGUUGGUGAGGUAAUGGCUCACCAAGGCUGCCAUCCGUAACUGGUCUGAUAGGAUGAUCAGUCACACUGGAACUGAGACACGGUCCAAACUCCUACGGGAGGCACCAGUGGGGAAUAUUGGACAAUGGGCUAAAGCCUGAUCCAGCCAUGCCGCGUGUGUGAACAAGGUCUUCGGAUUGUAAAGCACUUUAAGUUGGGAGGAAGGGCAGUAAGUUAAUACCUUGCUGUUUUGACGUUACCGACAGAAUAAGCACCGGCUAACUUCGUGCCAGCAGCCGCGGUAAUACGAAGGGUGCAAGCGUUAAUCGGAAUUACUGGGCGUAAAGCGCGCGUAUGUGGUUUGUUAAGUUGGAAGUGAAAGCCCCAGGCUCAACCUGGGGAACUGCUUUCAAACUGGCAAGCUACACUAUGGCACAUGGUGGUGGAAUUUCCUGUGUAACUGUGAAAUGCGUAGAUAUAGUGAAGAACACCAGUGGCGAAAGCGACCACCUGGGCUAAUACUGACACUGAGGUGCGACAGCGUGGGGAGCAAACACGAGUAGAUACCCUGAGUAGUCACGCCGUAAACGAUGUCUACUAUCCGCUAGUGAUCAUUGAUGACGUAUUGCGCAGCUAAUUCGAUAAGUCGAACAUCUGUGAGUACUGCUGGAGGUUAUACGCAAUGUAUAUAAUCGCUGGCCGUCGUAACGCGGGAGUCAUAUAGUUGAAUACAUUAGCAUCCCA
rnacentral:rRNA from 1 species